UCCUUCACACGGAGUCGCGUCCCCCGCCCCCCCACCCCCACCCUAAAGCCGCCUGGGUUCCAGUUAGCUUUGCCGAAGACUUGCAUUGCCUGGCAUGCACUUCCUCUCAAAUGUUACAUCUAUGAAGCCUCACCCUCAAACCCUGAGACAUUCAUUACAAAAUCAUUUCUCAUGGAACAAGAACAUGUACUUUCAUGGUGCAAGGUUGCCUGAUGUUUCCCAGGUUUCAAUGGCCCAGGCAGAUAAAGGAAAUUCAGCAAGAUCAGAAGAAAGAAGAACUGAUCUAUCCUUAAAAAUUGGCCUCCUCUGUUUGAUUUGAAGUCAUGAGUCUGGAUCACAAUAUAGAGAAUGUUUCCUCUGUGCCAUUAUUACAUUAUAUAAAAAUGCCUUUUUGUGCAAGCUGGCAUUAGUCUGUGUCCCAAGGCUUUUCUUCUCUUCUGCAUCUUCAUACUCCUAGAUCACAGGCCUAAGCCACUGACCUGAUUACCCAUUACUUGGCCCUCGUCCAUAUGGUGAUGCUCCUCACAGUAAUGGAUUUUUCUUUUGUCUCCAGUCAUGUUUCUGUCACUAAAUUUUCAAAACUAUAAAAAGUAAGGCAAUUCUCUAUAUGAACAGGGCAAUUAGGACCUCUGUAUCUGCAGCACCUGCCUACUGAACAUGUUCUACGGUAUUACCAUCAGCCCUCCUGUUUUGCAAGAUUUAAACAUAAAUUUGUAAAUAAAAUUACCCAUAUUUUCUUCUUUUUAUGGUCCUUUAGUUUGUCUUAUAGUAGUAACAUGAUCUUCUACAUCAUGACUUCUUUCAGUGUUUCCCAGACCAAUCUACUGACUGUCAGUUGACACUGCUCACUUUCCCCCAUGAGCUCCAUCAUCAGAGAACUUUUUUUACCUUUGAUGUUAUCUAGGGACAUUUUCUUGGUAGAAGUUAUGUGUCUCUCAAGUGCAUACAUGGUGAUUCUGUCAUUCAGGCAUCAGACCUUGUAGACCUUCCUCCCUGGGCUCAUUAAAUACAUGCUUCCAGGAUCCCUGGGUGGCUCAGUGGUUAAGCGUCUGCCUUUGGCUCAGGGCAUGAUCCUGGAGUCCCAGGAUCGAGUCCACAUCUGGUUCCCUGCAUGGAGCCUGCUUCUCUCUCUGCCUAUGUCUCUGCCUCUCUCUCUGUGUCUCUCAUGAAUAAAUAAAUAAAAUCUUUAAAUAAAUAAAUAAAUAAAUAAAUACACGCUUUCUUUCCGGGGCAGAAAUAAGUAGGGUUUCUUUUUAAUUUUUUAAUUUUUAAUUUUUAUUUUUUUAUAAGUAGGGUUUCUACAGUAAGUCAGAGGUUAGAGAAGACACUAUUAAUAGGCAGAGUCCAAAAAAGUAAUACAGAGCCAAUCAUGUCUCCAUGAAGCUCUCAGUACACUCAUCCCCAAGACAGUAUCCCAAGAGGUGAUCAGGAACUGCUUUGGCUGUAUGCUCUGGCCUUGCAGGGCCUGCUUGACUUGGCCUGGGUGAUGACCAAACAGAGCAGGGGGUAUUUGCCCCUGCACACACUCCUCCCUUCACUAGGUGGCUUUCCAGCGCAAGCUGACUCUGACUCCUCUGGCUCCUUCUUCCACUUUUAAGAACCCUUGUGAUUACAUCAGGCUCAACCAAUAAUCCAGGAUGACCUCCCUCUUUUAAAGUCAGCUAAUUAGCAACCUUAAUUCCUCUUUGCCAUGUAAUGUAACAUAUGCCCAGGUUCUGAGGACUAGGAAAUGGAUGUCUUCUAGAACCCAUUAUUCUGCCUUCCAUAUCUUCCUUGUCAUCUUUAGGGCUUGAAAGGAUCUUCAGACUGCUGAGAAGGAACCAGGGGAUGAAGUUAUGGGCAGAUUUAUCAGCCCACAUUUCCUUUCAUUGAAGAUAUGCUGCUCUAGGGCUUUUGUAAUCUUUAGGCAUAAGCCUUGUGAUCACCUAUCACUGGUCAUUCCAGCUCAGCCAGGUAACUUGCCAACCACCCCAGGCAACAUGUAUCUCACCCCUGAGUGAACCCUUCUGUGUUUCCCAAAGAUCCUAGCAUUAGGUCAGGUGAUAUCUGCCUUACAUUGAAUACCAGCUAUUAAAUCCCAAGAUAGCACCAAAUACUAUACAUAGCACAUAAUGC
rnacentral:lncRNA from 1 species